rnacentral:rRNA from 1 species
CCUACGGGAGGCAGCAGUGAGGAAUAUUGGUCAAUGGACGAGAGUCUGAACCAGCCAAGUAGCGUGAAGGAUGACUGCCCUAUGGGUUGUAAACUUCUUUUAUAUGGGAAUAAAAUGUUCCACGUGUGGGAUUUUGUAUGUACCCUAUGAAUAAGGAUCGACUAACUCCGUGCCAGCAGCCGCGGUAAUACGGAGGAUCCGAGUGUUAUCCGGAUUUAUUGGGUUUAAAGGGAGCGUAGGUGGAUUGUUAAGUCAGUUGUGAAAGUUUGCGGCUCAACCGUAAAAUUGCAGUUGAAACUGGCAGUCUUGAGUACAGUAGAGGUGGGCGGAAUUCGUGGUGUAGCGGUGAAAUGCUUAGAUAUCACGAAGAACUCCGAUUGCGAAGGCAGUUCACUGGACUGCAACUGACACUGAGGCUCGAAAGUGUGGGUAUCAAACAGGAUUAGAUACCCUUGUAGUC